rnacentral:lncRNA from 1 species
UGUUACAUAUAUUCAAAUGUAUAUAAAUAUAAUAUAGUAAUAACUAUAAUCAUUUUCCUUUUCUCUAUUUUAAUAAAUAGUUUUAUCUCGACUCACAAUUUCUACUUUUUCCCCCCCUGAUUCUUUCCCCUAUCCUACUGGGAAGGAGGUGAAUGAACAACUACAUGGUUCUCAGCCACCUGCCAGGUUAAACCACAACAGACUUAUAUACUUCAUUUUCUAAGAUGAGGCAGAAAUGCAGAAGGCAAAAUCUUGUGGCACAAAGCAACCGAAGACCAGACAGUUACCAGAGCUGCACUUCAGCAACCAGACUGCUCUUUCUCAUUAGCACUCCCCUUCAUGUUUUAGGACAACAUCAGGGCACAC